AUGAACGCUGGCGGCGUGCCUAAUACAUGCCAGUCGAGCGAACAGACGAGGAGCUUGCUCCUCUGACGUUAGCGGCGGACGGGUGAGUAACACGUGGAUAACCUACCUAUAAGACUGGGAUAACUUCGGGAAACCGGAGCUAAUACCGGAUAAUAUAUUGAACCGCAUGGUUCAAUAGUUAAAGACGGUUUUGCUGUCACUUAUAGAUGGAUCCGCGCCGCAUUAGCUAGUUGGUAAGGUAACGGCUUACCAAGGCAACGAUGCGUAUCCGACCUGAGAGGGUGAUCGGCCACACUGGAACUGAGACACGGUCCAGACUCCUACGAGAGGCAGCAGUAGGGAAUCUUCCGCAAUGGGCGAAAGCUUGACGGAGCAACGCCGCGUGAGUGAUGAAGGUCUUCGGAUCGUAAAACUCUGUUAUUAGGGAAGAACAAAUGUGUAAGUAACUAUGCACGUCUUGACGGUACCUAAUCAGAAAGCCACGGCUAACUACGUG
rnacentral:rRNA from 1 species